UUUGCUGGUUUUAGGACCUCUAGAGGUCCUGGCAGGUUUAUUCUCGUUUCGUUGAGGAGCUCCUUUGGGAUGUUCUGCCUUGAUGGGAUGAGGCUGUGAGAGAUGCCCAGCUUCCCCCUCCCCACUCUGCUCUAACACUCUAUACUGUGUGCAGAGCCUUCAGCAGGGCAAAUCACUGAAAACAAACAAACAAACAAACAAAAAAAAAAUCUACCAAAAAAAAAACCACCUAUAAAACAAACUAAAAAAAUCAGCCAGACUCCAAUGCGAAGUCCUCACUGGCGCCCCAACGCCGGGCUCCCUCCCGGCCGUCGUUCAGGGCCGAGCCGCAGGUAGCCCUACCCGCGGACGAGGCGGGGAAGGCGCCGCCGGGGGCUUUGCCGCCGCCUCUCCCCUCGGAGAGCGCAAGGGAGCCGGCCGUGCCGCCCGGAGCCGCCCCGUCGACAAUCGAGCCGAGGAAGCCCCGCACAGGGCAGCCCAGCUCGGCGACAAGUCUGGUUUCCCAGGGGAAUGCAGCUUAUGUGAUCACGCUGUCUCAGCCCAUCCAUCCAUCAUGUGCUGCCUACAGCCCGGUCUGGCAGAAAGGUGCAGUCUUCUGCAGAGAAAAUCCCAGUGAGAGUGAAAAUACAAAAGGUCUGGAAAGGAAUAAAGAACAAGGCCUCAGAAGCUGGAUUUGACAAGCAAGGACCUCCAUAACCUGUCUACAGCUCAGAGGAUCAAUCAGCUGAAAAUACAGAGAGUAACCGGCAUAAUAUCUAGAACACUGGUGUGAGCAUCUGCACAUGUAGGUUCUUGACAGGUAUCUUUAAAGGAGACAGCGUGCAUGGAAGUGUGUAACUUUGAUGAGGAAACCUUGCCUAGAUGGGAAAGGAAGACUGUGUAUUUCAGAGGCCUGUCGUUUGCACACAGCGCCAAAUCGGAAGUGUUUUAUAUUCUCACUUGUAGCCAUAUAAAAAACUAAACAAGCCAAAUUCUCCAAGAGAGGCAGCACUUACUUUCAAAAAAAAAAGAAAAAAAAAGAAAAAAGAAAGAUUAAAAAAUGUAAUUAU